AUAGUCGGAUUCACAUUAAUCCAUAUGUGUUGGGGUGGAUUGGAAUGGAACUUGAACUAAAUUCCACUCCAAUCCACUCCAACGCAUGUGAAUUGAGGUGAAUUCGACA
rfam:Sorghum bicolor cultivar BTx623 chromosome 3, whole genome shotgun sequence.